CUUAUUUUAUUUACGCAAAUACUACACUUUUGCGAUUUGUGCUCAUACAAUUUUGUAGUUUUUAUUAAGUUAAAAAUAUAGAAGUCGUACAAGUUACUCUGCGUCUUUAAUUUCAUUAUUCCCGAAAAUCCGCUGUGAUUACUCCAAAACAUGGUCCUAUAUCGAAGCCUGAUGUGAAUUAAAUGCGGAUCAGUUAUUAUUUUGUGGAAUUAAAUCGAAAUACAAGAAAUAAAAGAGAAAUUAAUUGGAUGCAAGUUGACCGGCAGAACUACCUACCAUUGGAUGUGAAUCGAGUGUAAUUUAUAGUGGUGUUAAGUAUAAAUUACUAUAUAAUAAACUUAUCCCAACACUCUACAGGUAAUAUUAUAAGUAAAUCAAAAACUUUAUUAAGGUCGACAACACUCGAAUCCCAUAAUGACCGAAGAAAAGGAGUUAAUAAAAAAGCGAGGCAGUUUUAAAGGCCGUUUAACUGCAUUUAUUAAUUAUUUGCAUACACUAACUGAUGAACCGUUAAGUCUCUCGGAUGCCAGAGAAUUACAAUUACGUAUGGGUAAAAUUGAGUCGUUGUAUGAACAGUAUGAUCAGUUCAUGGCAGUCAUCCACAUCAGAAUUCCAAUACAGCAGAAUCACAUAAUCGAAUCUGCCCUAAGUGUAAGGGUGACCAUAGUCUAACCGGUUGCCCCCAGUUUCUUGCGUUGAGCGUUGAAGCGCGCCUAAAGGUACUACCCAGUUUUAAGGUAUGUUUCAAUUGUUUUCGUGUAGGUCAUUUUGCUAAUCUAUGCAAAAGGCCAGGUUGCAAAAUAUGCAAGCGUCGACACAACACUCUGAUUCAUGCAGCCAAUGAUCAUCAUAUUCGUAAUGAAAAUAGAGUCGUAUCUGAAACUACACCUUUAGCGUCGUCUUCAACGACUGCUGCUUCUGACAAUGUAA